rnacentral:rRNA from 1 species
CCCGUAACGAGCGCAACCCUUGUCCUUAGUUACCAGCACGUUAAGGUGGGCACUCUAAGGAGACUGCCGGUGACAAACCGGAGGAAGGUGGGGAUGACGUCAAGUCAUCAUGGCCCUUACGGCCUGGGCUACACACGUGCUACAAUGGUCGGUACAGAGGGUUGCCAAGCCGCGAGGUGGAGCUAAUCUCACAAAACCGAUCGUAGUCCGGAUCGCAGUCUGCAACUCGACUGCGUGAAGUCGGAAUCGCUAGUAAUCGCGAAUCAUAAUGUCGCGGUGAAUACGUU